rnacentral:rRNA from 1 species
UACGGGGGGGGCAAGCGUUGUUCGGAAUUACUGGGCGUAAAGGGCUCGUAGGCGGCCAACUAAGUCAGACGUGAAAUCCCCAGGCUUAACCUGGGAACUGCGUCUGAUACUGGAUGGCUUGAGAUUGGGAGAGGGAUGCGGAAUUCCAGGUGUAGCGGUGAAAUGCGUAGAUAUCUGGAGGAAUACCGGUGGCGAAAGCGACUCUCUGGACGGCAACUGACGCUGAGGCACGAAAGCGUGGGGAGCAAACAGG